AAGUGUUUUAUGAUCGAAAUGUCAAGUGAAAUAUAGGUUAACUCGGUCAGUGCAUCGUGGACGCAUAAUUGAGUAUUUUAUCGUGUAUGUUUGAAAUGCAAGAUAUUUCCUUUAUUGAAGCGUUAUUUAUUAAUUGCUUUUAUAUUUAGUGCGAAAUCAGUUGUAGAAAUUAGUUAAACAGUCAGCUGGAAAAGUAUUUAAUAUGAAACCGGCAAACAAGUAUAUAGGCCGCCUUCAAUGCAAAGUCUGUUCAUGUAUUGUGAUAAUUGAUUUGUCAUGUAAUAAUUGAAAUUUCUAACACACCAGUCAGAAACAUAACCUCAAUUCAGUGAUAUGAUAUGAAUAUUAUAGAGAAAGAGUGCUCAUAACCCCUAUGGGUUAUGUCAAAAUGGAAUUCAAACUAGGGAAAUUUGCUCUAAUCAAGAAGAUAAAUUGUCACCAAAGAAACAAGCACGACUUAAAAACAUUCAAGAAGGAAAACAAAGAAUGCACCGGAUAUCACACAUUAUAUGGAUUAAGUGUUGAAGAGAACAUGAAUUGUUGAGUAUUUCGAGCCUGAUGAUCUUGCAUUACAGAAUUGGUAAUUCAGAACUUGAAAAUUAAUAGGAUAAAAUCAAUGCAAGAAAAUUGAGUGUGUGUUCAUGGAAUAAUUAUCUCUGUCAUAUGAUCGUAGGAACUACAUAGUCAUUAACUUCAAAUAAUGAGUAUGUUUAGAGAUACAUUAACAGAUGCAAGUGAGUUGAACAUAUUUAACGCAAGACUUAACUUUGCCAAGUCUGAUUUAACUGAAGUUGCCAAGAGAGUUAAACAUAAUACAUAUUAUGAAUAAAUAAAUAAUUAUUUUUAUAGGC